AUAGUUACCUGGAAGGGGAGAUAGCAUGAUCACAAGGGUGGUUUUCCCAGGGUGAGGCUUAUCCAUUGCACUCCAGAUGUGCUGACCCCUACGAUUUCCCCAAAUGUGGGAGACUUGACCACGUGACUUGCGGUAGUGGGGGGCUGUGUUCGCGCUCUCCCCUG
ensembl:snRNA U1 U1 spliceosomal RNA